GGGGAAUAUUGCACAAUGGGCGGAAGCCUGAUGCAGCGACGCCGCGUGGGGGAUGACGGCCUUCGGGUUGUAAACCUCUUUCGUCGGGGAAGAAGCCUUCCUUUUUGGGGGGUGACGGUACCCGGAGAAGAAGCACCGGCUAACUACGUGCCAGCAGCCGCGGUAAUACGUAGGGUGCGAGCGUUGUCCGGAAUUAUUGGGCGUAAAGAGCUUGUAGGCGGUUAGUCGCGUCUGCGGUGAAAACCUAACGCUUAACGUUGGGCGUGCCGUGGGUACGGGCAGGCUAGAGUGUGGUAGGGGAGACUGGAAUUCCUGGUGUAGCGGUGAAAUGCGCAGAUAUCAGGAGGAACACCGAUGGCGAAGGCAGGUCUCUGGGCCAUAACUGACGCUGAGAAGCGAAAGCAUGGGGAGCGAAC
rnacentral:rRNA from 1 species